rnacentral:rRNA from 1 species
GUGGGGAAUCUUAGACAAUGGGGGAAACCCUGAUCUAGCCAUGCCGCGUGAGCGAUGAAGGCCUUAGGGUUGUAAAGCUCUUUCAGCUGGGAAGAUAAUGACGGUACCAGCAGAAGAAGCCCCGGCUAACUCCGUGCCAGCAGCCGCGGUAAUACGGAGGGGGCUAGCGUUGUUCGGAAUUACUGGGCGUAAAGCGCGCGUAGGCGGACCAGAAAGUUGGAGGUGAAAUCCCAGGGCUCAACCUUGGAACUGCCUUCAAAACUCCUGGUCUGGAGUUCGAGAGAGGUGAGUGGAAUUCCGAGUGUAGAGGUGAAAUUCGUAGAUAUUCGGAGGAACACCAGUGGCGAAGGCGGCUCACUGGCUCGAUACUGACGCUGAGGUGCGAAAGCGUGGGGAGCAAACAGGAUUAGAAACCCCUGUAGUCC